UACGUAGGGCGCAAGCGUUAUCCGGAAUUAUUGGGCGUAAAGAGCUCGUAGGCGGUUUGUCGCGUCUGCUGUGAAAACCCGAGGCUCAACCUCGGGCCUGCAGUGGGUACGGGCAGACUAGAGUGCGGUAGGGGAGAUUGGAAUUCCUGGUGUAGCGGUGGAAUGCGCAGAUAUCAGGAGGAACACCAAUGGCGAAGGCAGAUCCCUGGGCCGUAACUGACGCUGAGGAGCGAAAGCAUGGGGAGCGAACAGG
rnacentral:rRNA from 1 species